ACGAGUUUUCUUUCUUUAAAAAGUUUCCGUCCACGAUGGGUUGUCCAAAGUGCUACAAAGAUUGUAAGUGCCCAGCACAGAAGUGCGGAUCAGAACAAUGCAAAUGUGACGCCUGCUGCAAUUGCCCAUGCAAAGGAACAGAUACAAAAGAGAAAUGCUGUAAAUAAGGUCAUUGAUGAUGGUGCUUCACUCCAGUUUUUUUUGUGAAUAAAAGAUACGGAAAAUUAUUUUAUAUAAAGUUAAUUGUAUAAAAUUAAAAAAAUAUAUAUAAUAAUAAUUUUUGGAUAUACUAAUGAUUU